ensembl:lncRNA
UGUCCACCUGGGCCAGCCUAAAUCUUGUCAUUUUGUGUGUGUGUGUGUGUGUGUGUGCAGGGAGCAGAAGGAUCCGGUGUAUCUGCGGGAUAAAGUGUCUCAGAAACAUUCCAAGGAGCAGUUUGAGGCGGCUCAGAAGAUGGAGCAGGAAUACAGCAAAUAUUUCACAGGUGUGGUGCAGGGUGGGCCUCUGUCCUCUAUCUGCACUCAGGUGAUGGCCAUCGUGGAGCAGGAGCAGAACGAACCCCUGUGGCUUCCUGACGCUUCUGCAUAAAACUACACUUACAGCAAGAACUACAACUCCCACAAUGCUCUACUACAGCUCUCCACUGCAAACCAUACACUACAGCACACUGCUGUAACUGCACUACAAUGCAAAACACUCCUGUACAUCACGGUUACAGUAGCAGCUCAGCUAAAGAUGCUAACAUAGCUAAUAAUGAAUGCGGAUGAGUAAACACCAGUUAGCUAUGAGACGAGCUCACGGUAAUUAGUUAGCAUGUGCAAACUAAAUGGUAGACAUUCUGUGUCAUUCACUCUUAGCAACAUAAAGCAUUAUUGAUUCCACACACACUUUCUAUUGGGGGAGGAGUUAAAGGAGCAUGGAGGCUAGUGUGGGGGAAUAGCAGCACACUACUACAUCUACUACACCUGCAGUUCGUACUGUGGUAACGUUGACUUAGGACUGCUCUGAUUUCUCUUUAAUCUGCUCUUUAUUUUUGUUGUUUUGUUUAUAUUUUUUAAUGUUAAUAUAGCCAAGAUUAGUGGACACUAGAUACGCUGUACUGGAUUGUUUACAGACGCUAUAUAUUUAUGAACCCGUUACGCUUUUACUUGAAUGUUUAUUUUACCCUUCUACUCCACUCGCUUCCCCUCAGGGCUGUCUCAAAUCACAUUCAGUUAACGGUUAAUGUUUGAGACACAGCCCGAGUUGCACCCGAUUCAUUACAGAAUUUUGGUUUGCGUCAGUUUUGUUAAUGCUAACUGUGUGGGCCAUGUCCCAAACUGCAUCAAACCAUUCAUGGUACCAAAACAAAUUACAUCUUGCAUCUUCUUAUUUUAUGGUUUCUGUUUGGGCUGUGUCCCAAAUCACUCGCACCCAUCACACCAAGCUUCAGUGUGAUUAAGGGCUCUAAACUGGGCUGGAACUGGUUUCACAAUGUAAAUUUCUAAACCAAGGUCUACAUUGUAAAUUUUACAUUCUACAUUUUAACCCCAUUCAGUACUUAAAGUUACAGACCCCUCCCCCUUUUGCUCUUUAAAUGUAGCUAAUCAUGAUGCGUAUCUCAAACAGGUCUCAACCAAUCAGCUACACUUGGUUUAAGGUGGGAAAAUGUACAUUUUUAUGGAUUGCCAAACGUUUCCUUUAUACCUAAACAAAAAAAAAAAAAAAACUAAGACAAAAAAAAAACAACCCAAUUUGUAGCAGUUAAUGACUAUUAUUCUAAUUAAUGUCUUUUACUUGUUGUCUUAAUUGUUUUUUCUUAUUUAAAUGAAUGAUGUACGAGGAGCAUCUUGUUCUUCUUCGCUCUGUCCUGUUUAUUAUUAUUAUUAUUAUUAUAUUUUUUUAUUUAUACGUUUUAUAAUCGGAGUAUUAGUCAGGUGUAUCAGUAGCAGGACUGGGUUUAGUCGGUAACGAUAAUCACUGUGGCAAAAAUACUCUCCUGUGCUUCCCGCAGGGGUCAGUUCUGCGCGUGUUAAUGUAAGCAAUAACGUAACGAUACGUAGGAUUUUCGGUACUGUACAGUCAGUCAGAGGUACGUGAGUGAAUGUUUAACACACACACAGGUAUGUAAAAUAGAUUAAUGCACUCGAGAUGCACUCAUUUCAGCAGAACCGGAUUUGAGUGGAGAUGAUCACCAUGUUUCUGAAGCUGGAGUUGAUGAUGAGUUAAUGAUGAGUUGAUGAUGAUGGGUCUGAGUAGUUUUGACAAUCCAUUAGAGAAAUAACAUCUAGUAACCUCUAGCCUUAUCUGCUCUGAUCUGCUGUGUCGGUAACGUACACUUCUUUACCACUGCAGGAAACCUGGUGAGAUGAGAACUUUUAACGCUCUUGAAACAAUGUGAAUUUGUGACCAAAUAACAUGAAUUUAUAGCCGCUAUUUACAACCUCAAACAAAUAUAUAUAUUAAUAAUUAAUAAUACUUAUGCAUUAUUUUGAGAUACAAAUUAAUUAUAAAAAAGGAGAUCAGAGAUCAGAUUAAAAUCAUACUGAGAUCAUUUAGAGAUCAUACUGGUAUUAUUCAGAGAUCAGACGGAUCAUUCAAAGAUCAAAAAAAGCUCAAAGAUCAUUCAGAGAUCAGGAAAAGAUCAUUUGGAGAUCAGGUUGAGAUCAUUUAGAGAGAAUUCAGAGAUCAUCCAGAGAUCAGACUGAGAUCAUUCAGAGAUCAAACUGAGAUCAUUCAGAGAUCAGAAAAAGAUAAUUUGGAGAUCAGAUUGAGAUCAUUCAGAGAUAAUUCUGAGAUCAGACCAAGACCAUUCAGAGAUAAUUCUGAGAUCAGACCAAGACCAUUCUGAAAUCAAAGAUCAUUCAGAGAUCAGACUAAGAUCAUUUAGAGAUCAGACUGAGAACAUUCAGUGAUUAGACUGAGAUCAUUCAGAGAUUAGACUGAGAUCAUUCAGAGAUUAUUCAAAUAUUAGAUUGAGGUCAGAAAUAUCAUUCAGAGAUCAGAAAAAAAAUCAGAAAAAGAUCAUACAGAGACCAGACAGAUCAGACUGAGAUCAAACAGAUGAUUCUGAGAUCAUAUUGAGAUCAGGAAAAGAAAUCAACGAUAAUUUAGAGAUCAAACAUAGAUCAAAGAUCAUUCAAAGAUCAUUUAGAGAUCAGACUGAGAUCUCAGAGGAUCAUUAAUUCCUCUCAGAGCAGUAAGUAAACUCAGACCCAGCCCCCCUGUGUUUCAGACUGGGAGGAUGGGGCUCUCCAGCUAAUGAUGGUGUGGGGUCAUCUCCAUCUCUACUCCAGAUCACGGGUUAAUAAAGGGAUCUUCAGCAGGCA